rnacentral:rRNA from 1 species
GACGAACGCUGGCGGCGUGCCUAAUACAUGCAAGUUGAGCGCUGAAGGUUGGUACUUGUACCAACUGGAUGAGCAGCGAACGGGUGAGUAACGCGUGGGGAAUCUGCCUUUGAGCGGGGGACAACAUUUGGAAACGAAUGCUAAUACCGCAUAAAAACUUUAAACACAAGUUUUAAGUUUGAAAGAUGCAAUUGCAUCACUCAAAGAUGAUCCCGCGUUGUAUUAGCUAGUUGGUGAGGUAAAGGCUCACCAAGGCGAUGAUACAUAGCCGACCUGAGAGGGUGAUCGGCCACAUUGGGACUGGGACACGGCCCAAACUCCUACGGGAGGCAGCAGUAGGGAAUCUUCGGCAAUGGACGAAAGUCUGACCGAGCAACGCCGCGUGAGUGAAGAAGGGUUUCGGAUCGUAAAACUCUGUUGGUAGAGAAGAACGUUGGUGAGAGUGGAAAGCUCAUCAAGUGACGGUAACUACCCAGAAAGGGACGGCUAACUACGUG